rnacentral:misc_RNA from 1 species
AAAAAACAUAAGUUAAAGCAAUUGUUUACAAGUAGAGAUUCACUCUACUACAUCAGGUACUUGAGACCAACAUAAUAUAUGGUUUUUUUUUUUUAAUGAAGUCAAACUAACAUUGCAACUUACUAGUACUUUGCCUGACCUAUACAAAUGAUGGUGAGAGUAGAAAUUCUGGUAGUAAUUUCUUUAAAGGAAUCCCACAAAAGGGACACCAAGGUUUUGGAUGUUCAUCAUCUGUGUUAGACUUGAAAUCUGAAGGAUAAUAUCCAGGCAUUUUGAAGAUGGGUGAAGGG